rnacentral:misc_RNA from 1 species
CGCAUCUUGCGCUCCUUGGCAUUCCGAGGAGCAUGCCUGUUUGAGUGUCGUGAAUACUCUCAACUUCAAUCUUUGUUGAUUGAAGUUGGAUGUGGAUGUUGUUGUGACUGACAUGACUCGUCCUAAAUACAUUAGCGAUCUGCCUUGGAUCACACAAUGUGAUAAGAAAAAAGCAUUGUUGAAUUCGAGUCAAGGGUUGCUUCCAACUGUCGAAAGACAACGCAUAUAUAUGUCAUUUGACCUCAAAUCAGGUAGGACUACCCGCUGAACUUAA